UACGUAGGGUGCGAGCGUUGUCCGGAAUUAUUGGGCGUAAAGGGCUCGUAGGCGGUCUGUUGCGUCGGGAGUGAAAACUCAGGGCUUAACCCUGAGCCUGCUUCCGAUACGGGCAGACUAGAGGUAUGCAGGGGAGAACGGAAUUCCUGGUGUAGCGGUGAAAUGCGCAGAUAUCGGGAGGAACACCGGUGGCGAAGGCGGUUCUCUGGGCAUUACCUGACGCUGAGGAGCGAAAGUGUGGGGAGCGAACAGG
rnacentral:rRNA from 1 species